rnacentral:tRNA from 1 species
GGGCCGGUAGCUUAGCUGGUUAAAGCGCAUCCCUGUCACGGAUGAGAGCGCGGGUUCAAAUCCCGUCCGGCCCGCCA